rnacentral:rRNA from 1 species
GACGAACGCUGGCGGCGUGCUUAACACAUGCAAGUCGAACGCUGAAGCCCAGCUUGCUGGGUGGAUGAGUGGCGAACGGGUGAGUAACACGUGAGUAACCUGCCCCCUUCUUUGGGAUAACGCCCGGAAACGGGUGCUAAUACUGGAUAUUCACUGGCCUUCGCAUGGGGGUUGGUGGAAAGGUUUUUUCUGGUGGGGGAUGGGCUCGCGGCCUAUCAGCUUGUUGGUGGGGUGAUGGCCUACCAAGGCUUUGACGGGUAGCCGGCCUGAGAGGGUGACCGGUCACAUUGGGACUGAGAUACGGCCCAGACUCCUACGGGAGGCAGCAGUGGGGAAUAUUGCACAAUGGGCGAAAGCCUGAUGCAGCGACGCCGCGUGAGGGAUGACGGCCUUCGGGUUGUAAACCUCUUUCGCUCAUGGUCAAGCCGCAACAAUGGUUGUGGUGAGGGUAGUGGGUAAAGAAGCGCCGGCUAACUACGUGCCAGCAGCCGCGGUAAUACGUAGGGCGCGAGCGUUGUCCGGAAUUAUUGGGCGUAAAGGGCUUGUAGGCGGUUGGUCGCGUCUGCCGUGAAAUCCUCUGGCUUAACUGGGGGCGUGCGGUGGGUACGGGCUGACUUGAGUGCGGUAGGGGAGACUGGAACUCCUGGUGUAGCGGUGGAAUGCGCAGAUAUCAUGAAGAACACCGGUGGGAAGGCGGGUCUCUGGGGCGUUACUGAGCUGAGGAGCGAAAUCGUGGGGAGCGAACAUG